AUGAAUUUGGGGCUGAGCUGGACUUUCAUUUUGACCAUUUUAUAUGGUGUACAUUGUGAGGUGACACUUGUGGAGUCUGGGGGUGAUCUGAAACAACCUGGACAGUCUCUGAGACUUUCCUGUGAAGGCUCUGGAUUCACCUUCAGUAACGCCUAUAUAAGCUGGAUCCGCCAGUAUCCAGGAAACAAAUUGGAGUGGGUCAGCUUUAUUAGAAACAAAGCUAAUGGUGGAACACAAGAAUAUGCUGCAUCUGUGAAAGGCAGAUUCACCAUUUCAAGAGAUGAUUCCAGAAACAUUGCCUUUUUGCAAAUGACUGGACUGAAACCUGAGGACACAGCCAUGUAUUACUGUGCAAGAGACACAGCAAAGACAUUGUAUUAUUAUUACUUUGACUACUGGGGCCAGGGGACCCUGGUCACCGUCUCCUCAGGUGAUCAAUCUGCUCCAUCUAUCUUCCCACUCAUCUCCUGUGGGAGUCUCCUGCCUGAACAGAACAAUGUGGCCAUAGGCUGUCUUGCACGUGACUUCCUGCCCGAUUCCAUCAAAUUCUCCUGGAACUUCAAGAACAACACUGCCAUUGAUGCCCAUAAGUUGAAGACCUUUCCAUCGGUUAUGCGGGCGGGCAAGUAUAUAGCCAGCUCUCAGGUGCUUCUCCCCUCUGAAGACGUCCUUGAGAACACUGAUGGGUACCUAGUGUGCAAAGUCCAGUUUUCAAAUGGCAACAACCAAAAUCUGAAUGUGCCCUUCCCAGUACCAAAUGUAGAGCUCCCUCCCAAUGUGAAUGUGUUCAUCCCACUUCGAGAUGCUUUCUCCAGCACCAGUCAGCGUACCUCCAAGCUCAUCUGCCAGGCCACAGGCUUCAGCCCCAAGCAGAUCUCUCUGUUCUGGCUGCGGGAGGGGAAGCCAGUGCAGUCGGGCUUCAACACAGGUGAAGUUGAGCCUGAGCCCAGAGGGCCUGGACCACUGACCUACCAGAUCACCAGCACACUGACGAUCAGCGAAAGUGACUGGCUCAGCCAAAGAGUGUUCACCUGCCUCGUGAAACACAGUGGGCUGGAUUUUACAAAGAACGUAUCUUCUGUGUGUGGAUCCAGUCCAUCAACAGGCAUCAAAAUCUUCACAAUUCCCCCCUCCUUUGCUAGUAUCUUCCUCACUAAAUCAGCCAAGUUAUCCUGCCUGGUCACAGACCUGGCCACCUAUGACAAGCUGACCAUCACCUGGACUCGCCAGAAUGGUGAAAUUCUGACGACCCACACCAGCAUCUCUGAGAGCCACCCCAAUGCCACCUUCAGUGCCAUGGGCGAUGCCACUGUCUGUGUGGAGGAUUGGGAAACAGGGGAAAAGUUUACAUGCACUGUUACCCACACUGACCUCCCCUCACCAUUGAAACAGACGAUCUCCAAACCCAAAGAGGUGGCCAAGCAUGCACCAGCUGUAUACUUGAUGUCACCCACCCGGGAGCAGCUGAGCCUGCGUGAGUCAGCCUCCAUCACCUGCCUCGUGAAGGACUUCUCGCCCCCUGAUGUGCUUGUUCAGUGGCUGCACAAGGGUCAGCCUAUUGCCUCCAACAAGUACACCACCAGCACCCCGAUGCCUGAGCCCCAAAACAAGGGCUCCUACUUCACCUACAGCAUCCUGAGCGUGCCAGAGGAGGACUGGAGUGCCGGAGAUACAUACACUUGUGUUGUGGGCCAUGAGGCCCUGCCCCAUCUGGUGACCGAGAGGACCGUGGACAAGUCCACUGGUAAACCCUCCCUGUACAACGUGUCCUUGGUGAUGUCUGACACAGCCAACACCUGUUACUGA